rnacentral:rRNA from 1 species
UGGGGAAUUUUGGACAAUGGGCGAAAGCCUGAUCCAGCAAUGCCGCGUGUGUGAAGAAGGCCUUCGGGUUGUAAAGCACUUUUGUCCGGAAAGAAAUCCUUGGCUCUAAUACAGUCGGGGGAUGACGGUACCGGAAGAAUAAGCACCGGCUAACUACGUGCCAGCAGCCGCGGUAAUACGUAGGGUGCAAGCGUUAAUCGGAAUUACUGGGCGUAAAGCGUGCGCAGGCGGUUUGCUAAGACCGAUGCGAAAUCCCCGGGCUCAACCUGGGAACUGCAUUGGUGACUGGCAGGCUAGAGUAUGGCAGAGGGGGGUAGAAUUCCGACGUGUAGCAGUGAAAUGCGUAGAGAUGUGGAGGAAUACCGAUGGCGAAGGCAGCCCCCUGGGCCAAUACUGACGCUCAUGCACGAAAGCGUGGGGAGCAAACAGGAUUAGAUACCCUGGUAGUCCACGCCCUAAACGAUGUCAACUAGUUGUUGGGGAUUCAUUUCCUUAGUAACGUAGCUAACGCGUGAAGUUGACCGCCUGGGGAGUACGGUCGCAAGAUUAAAACUCAAAGGAAUUGACGGGGUC